GUCACCCACAGGACCUGGGAAGCCUGCAGAGCCAUAGCCAUCUGGACCUGUUGUGGAAUUGUUCACAACCUCGUGUGUUUACAACACCAUACUCUAAGACUGUAGAAGGACUCAUUAAGACUGAAGACCCUCCCAGAUCCUACAGAAUUUCAAGUCACUUAAUUGCUGAUGAACAGAACGAACGCUCAAAUAAGAGAACAAACUCACCAAUUUCACCAUGGGAACCAGGAGAACCAAAAUGACCCGAACUUCCUGGGGCACCCUUAUCUCCCUGUUGUAUGAUUGAAAACAAUUAUUGGUUAAUAAGAAUGAGGAUUUAUUCAACCUUCCAAGCAGCAGAGUUUAAAUAUUGAAAAAAGGACAUUAAAUUUACCUUUUGUUUUGCUCUGUGUGUUUUGGUUUUUUGUUUGUUUGUUUGUUUGUUUGUUUGUUUGGGGUUUUUUGCUUGUUUCCAUUGUGCUUUGAAUUUGGCUGAAAUCAGUUAACCCAAACCAGC